UUGCACUUCACCUAUUCACCAAGAUCAAGGAAGGCAACAAAACCGGGAAUGUCUUCUACUCUCCUCUCAGCAUCUCUUCUGCGCUGGCCAUGGUGUCUCUCGGAGCUGCAGGCAACACAGCAACUCAGAUGUCUGAGGUCUUGUGCUUCAACAAACCAGUGAAGCCCAAGUGUUCAACCAGUAGCAGUCCAACAGGCACAGCAAUCUCAGAAGAUCCAGUUACCAUCGGCUUUACAAAAGGUUCUGCACCACAGCAAAGCCAAGGACGACGUCCACGUCAGCUUCAACAAGCUGAUGGCUGAACUGAACAAAGCAGGAGCUCCGUAUGCCCUCAGCAUGGCCAAUAGGCUUUAUGGAGAGCAGACCUACAAAUUUGUG